CGUAGCGCACAGCUCAGUAGCACGUGGCUAACCUGCCCUUGGGACGGGAGCAACCCGGGAAACUGGGGCUAAUUUCCGAUAGGUGAAAACUCCUGGAAUGGAUUUUCGCUCAAAAGGCGCUUGGAGCAUGCUUCUAAGUGUUGCCCAAGGAUGGGGCCGCGGCCGAUCAGGUUGUUGGUGAGGUAAUGGCUCACCAAGCCUUUAACCGGUGCGGGCCGUGGGAGCGGGAGCCCGGAGAUGGGCACUGAGACAAGGGCCCAGGCCCUACGGGGCGCAGCAGUCGCGAAAACUUCGCAAUAAGCGAAAGCUUGACGGGGCUAUCCCGAGUGCCAUCCGCUGAGGAUGGCUUUUCCCUAGUAUAGAUAGCUGGGGGAAUAAGGAGAGGGCAAGUCUGGUGUCAGCCGCCGCGGUAAUACCAGCUCUCCGAGUUGUAGGGAUGUUUAUUGGGCCUAAAGCAUCCGUAGCCGGCUGGACAAGUCCCCUGUUAAAUCCAGCGACCAAUCGUUGGUCUGCGGGGGAUACUGUCCGGCUAGGGGGCGGGAGAGGCCGUCGGUAUUCUUGGGGUAGGGGUGAAAUCCUAUAAUCCCAGGAGGACCACCAGUGGCGAAGGCUGUCGGCUAGAACGCGCCCGACGGUGAGGGAUGAAAGCUGGGGGAGCGAACCGGAUUAGAUACCCGGGUAGUCCCAGCUGUAAACGAUGCAGGCUAGGUGUUAGGGCGGCUACGUGCCGCUCUAGUGCCGCAGGGAAGCUGUUAAGCCUGCCGCCUGGGGAGUAAGCCGCAAGGCUGAAG
rnacentral:rRNA from 1 species